rnacentral:rRNA from 1 species
GAUGAACGCUGGCGGCGUGCCUAAUACAUGCCAGUCGAGCGAACGGACGAGAAGCUUGCUUCUCUGAUGUUAGCGGCGGACGGGUGAGUAACACGUGGAUAACCUACCUAUAAGACUGGGAUAACUUCGGGAAACCGGAGCUAAUACCGGAUAAUAUUUUGAACCGCAUGGUUCAAAAGUGAAAGACGGUCUUGCUGUCACUUAUAGAUGGAUCCGCGCUGCAUUAGCUAGUUGGUAAGGUAACGGCUUACCAAGGCAACGAUGCAUAGCCGACCUGAGAGGGUGAUCGGCCACACUGGAACUGAGACACGGUCCAGACUCCUACGGGAGGCAGCAGUAGGGAAUCUUCCGCAAUGGGCGAAAGCCUGACGGAGCAACGCCGCGUGAGUGAUGAAGGUCUGCGGAUCGUAAAACUCUGUUAUUAGGGAAGAACAUAUGUGUAAGUAACUGUGCACAUCUUGACGGUACCUAAGCAGAAAGCCACGGCUAACUACGU